AACUAACGCUAGCGGCGUGCCUAACACAUGCAAGUCGUACGAGAAAGUCGGCUUCGGUCGGCGAGUAAAGUGGCGCACGGGUGAGUAACGCGUGGAUAAUCUACCCUUGAGUUGGGAAUAACGUGCCGAAAGGUGCGCUAAUACCGAAUAAUACUGAGUGACUAAUGUUGCUUAGUCAAAGAAGGCCUCUGCUUGCAAGCUUUCGCUGAAGGAUGAGUCCGCGUACCAUUAGCUAGUUGGUAGGGUAAUGGCCUACCAAGGCAACGAUGGUUAGCUGGUCUGAGAGGAUGAUCAGCCACACUGGAACUGAGACACGGUCCAGACUCCUACGGGAGGCAGCAGUGAGGAAUAUUGCGCAAUGGGGGCAACCCUGACGCAGCAACGCCGCGUGAGUGAGGAAGGUUUUCGGACCGUAAAGCUCUGUCGAGCGGGAAGAAAUGCAUGCUGGCUAAUAUCCAGCAUGCUUGACGGUACCG
rnacentral:rRNA from 1 species